rnacentral:lncRNA from 1 species
CCAAGAGCCGCCUAGAGCCGAAGUCCUGUUAGUCGCCUCUGACUGGGUACCAACCCCCUAUUACUCUGCAGGCGCGUGAAGGAGAAGGAAACUCGCUGGGACCGUGCAGGUCUCCGCUGGAGCCUAGACUUGAGAAGAAGCAACCCGCCUUGGUUGGAACCUUGCUGCAGGUUUGAAGGUGGGAUUCAUCCUGAUCCUAAAGUCUGACAUCGCUUUUCGAUUGUCCUUCUGCCAGACUCGGUCCACCUAUCUCCGUGGAGGGAAUACAGCAGAAGCCACCAGAAGAAAAAAGGAAUUCAAUUGGUUUUUGUAGAGGUUAGUUAGAAAACAUGCAGUGUUCUGGGGGUGGGUAGGAGGAGGAGAGAAAGGAGGCGGUGGUAAAGAAGCCUACAUGAGGGUUAUCUGUUCCUUUCACCUGCCUACCUAUCAAGUGAGAGCCUCAUCUACUGUCUAUCU